rnacentral:rRNA from 1 species
CAUGGAGGGUGAGAAUCCCGUCCUUGACAUGGACUCCCAGUACUUUGUGUUGUGCUCUCAACGAGUCGAGUUGUUUGGGAAUGCAGCUCAAAAUGGGAGGUAAAUUUCUCCUAAGGCUAAAUAUUGGCGAGAGACCGAUAGCGAACAAGUACCGUGAGGGAAAGAUGAAAAGAACUUUGAAAAGAGAGUUAAAUAGUACGUGAAAUUGUUGAAAGGGAAACGAUUGAAGCCAGUCGUACCGGCGGGUAAUCAGCCUUUUGGGUGUGAUUAUGUGGAGCGUGGGGAGUUAAACGCCUUCAUGCCUGCAUAUUCGUGCACUUUGGGUGUACUUGCCCGUGUGUAAGUUAACAUCAAUUUUGGUGGUCAUAAAAUGGCUGGAGGAAUGUAGCUUCGAUCUUGUAUUGAAGUGUUAUAGCCUUCGGUAGAUGUGACGAUCGGGAUUGAGGAUUGCAACGGAUACCCUUCGGGGCUACCUGUCUGAUCUCUGAUCGUUGCUCUGGUGCCGAAAGCUUGCUUACGGUUAUCAAAGUCGAUGGUCAAUAGGUUAGAAUAGGUUAAAUUCGUUAAGGAUGUUGACGUAAUGG